CCUACGGGAGGCAGCAGUGGGGAAUAUUGCACAAUGGGGGAAACCCUGAUGCAGCGACGCCGCGUGAGUGAAGAAGUAUCUCGGUACGUAAAGCUCUAUCAGCAGGGGAGAAAAUGACGGUACCUGACUAAGAAGCCCCGGCUAACUAAGUUCCAGAAGCCGCGGUAAUACGUAGGGGGCAAGCGUUAUCCGGAUUUACUGGGUGUAAAGGGAGCGUAGACGGCAGGACAAGUCUGGAGUGAAAUCCCGGGGCUCAACCCCGGAACUGCUGUGGAAACUGUGCGGCUGGAGUGCAGGAGGGGUAAGCGGAAUUCCUAGUGUAGCGGUGAAAUGCGUAGAUAUUAGGAGGAACACCGGUGGCGAAGGCGGCUUACUGGACUGUAACUGAGGUUGAGGCUCGAAAGCGUGGGGAGCAAACAGGAUUAGAUACCCGAGUAGUC
rnacentral:rRNA from 1 species